rnacentral:rRNA from 1 species
UACGUAGGGGGCAAGCGUUGUCCGGAUUUACUGGGCGUAAAGAGCGUGUAGGCGGCCAGACCGGUCCGUUGUGAAAACUGGAGGCUCAACCUUCAGACGUCGACGGAAACCGUCUGGCUAGAGUCCGGAAGAGGAGAGUGGAAUUCCUGGUGUAGCGGUGAAAUGCGCAGAUAUCAGGAAGAACACCCGUGGCGAAAGCGGCUCUCUGGAACGGUACUGACGCUGAGACGCGAAAGCGUGGGGAGCGAACAGG